GACGAACGCUGGCGGCGUGCUUAACACAUGCAAGUCGAACGAUGAACCCGGAGCUUGCUCUGGGGGAUUAGUGGCGAACGGGUGAGUAACACGUGAGUAACCUGCCCUGGACUCUGGGAUAAGCGUUGGAAACGACGUCUAAUACCGGAUAGGGCCUUGGAUCGCAUGAUCUGGGGUGGAAAGUUUUUUCGGUCUGGGAUGGACUCGCGGCCUAUCAGCUUGUUGGUGAGGUAAUGGCUCACCAAGGCGUCGACGGGUAGCCGGCCUGAGAGGGUGACCGGCUACACUGGGACUGAGACACGGCCCAGACUCCUACGGGAGGCAGCAGUGGGGAAUAUUGCACAAUGGGCGAAAGCCUGAUGCAGCAACGCCGCGUGCGGGAUGACGGCCUUCGGGUUGUAAACCGCUUUUAGUAGGGAAGAAGGGCUUCGGCUUGACGGUACCUGCAGAAAAAGGACCGGCUAACUACGUG
rnacentral:rRNA from 1 species